rnacentral:rRNA from 1 species
GACGAACGCUGGCGGCGUGCUUAACACAUGCAAGUCGAGCGGUAAGGCCCUUUCGGGGGGUACACGAGCGGCGAACGGGUGAGUAACACGUGGGUGACCUGCCCUCAGCUCUGGGAUAAGCCUGGGGAAACCGGGUCUAAUACCGGAUAUGACUCCAUGACGCAUGUUGUGGGGUGGAAAGCCUUGUGCGGCUGAGGAUGGGCCCGCGGCCUAUCAGCUUGUUGGUGGGGUGAUGGCCUACCAAGGUGACGACGGGUAGCCGGCCUGAGAGGGGCGACCGGCCACACUGGGACUGAGACACGGCCCAGACUCCUACGGGA